UACGUAGGGAGCAAGCGUUGUCCGGAAUCAUUGGGCGUAAAGCGCGCGUAGGUGGCCCUGUAAGUCCGUUGUGAAAGUCAAAGGCUCAACCUUUGAAAGCCGAUGGAUACUGCAGGGCUAGAGUACGGAAGAGGCGAGUGGAAUUCCUGGUGUAGCGGUGGAAUGCGCAGAUAUCAGGAGGAACACCAAUAGCGAAGGCAGCUCGCUGGGACGUUACUGACACUGAGGCGCGAAAGCGUGGGGAGCAAACCGG
rnacentral:rRNA from 1 species